UGGGGAAUAUUGCACAAUGGGCGCAAGCCUGAUGCAGCCAUGCCGCGUGUAUGAAGAAGGCCUUCGGGUUGUAAAGUACUUUCAGUCGGGAGGAAGGUGGUAAGGUUAAUAACCUUGGCAAUUGACGUUACCGACAGAAGAAGCACCGGCUAACUCCGUGCCAGCAGCCGCGGUAAUACGGAGGGUGCAAGCGUUAAUCGGAAUUACUGGGCGUAAAGCGCACGCAGGCGGUUGAUUGAGUCAGAUGUGAAAUCCCCGGGCUUAACCCGGGAACUGCAUCUGAUACUGGCAAGCUUGAGUCUCGUAGAGGGGGGUAGAAUUCCAGGUGUAGCGGUGAAAUGCGUAGAGAUCUGGAGGAAUACCGGUGGCGAAGGCGGCCCCCUGGACGAAGACUGACGCUCAGGUGCGAAAGCGUGGGGAGCAAACAGG
rnacentral:rRNA from 1 species